rnacentral:lncRNA from 1 species
GUCAGUUGUUCCUGCAGUGCCACUUGACACCAUGCUUUCUCUCUCUCAUACCUCAUUUACUAAUUCUUAGAGAAGGAAGAGAAAGAAAAGAAGAAUCAAGGGAAGAGAAGAAGGUCUCUGAUUCUUUGAUGUGGUUCAUUUCCAAACCAAAGAUCAUCAAGCCUCUUAAAGAAUACUCUUUAAUCCACUUUUAUCUAGAAUGAGAUGGUGAGUUCUGCAACCAAAAGCCAGAGAGAGUCUUGCCUUUCGCAAUGCCAAAUUAAGAAGAUGAAUGCAUAGCUCACUCAGAGAAACAAACCUUAUGAAGACAGUCUUCGCUACAGGGGCUUACUCAUCAUGCAAUACCUCCUCUUGGCUGUGGACAUUUUGAUGAAACAUUGAAAUUAGAGUCAACCAACCUAAAUAUCUGUAACAACAUCUGGAAAGGUGUAUAAUUCAGAAUUGCAUGAAGACAACAAAAGAUUGGUGAACUUGCUAUAGUCUACACUUAGGACUGGCAAUUCUGUGUGUGCUCCUGUAACCCCAGCCACAUGUAACUCCAUGCCUGGAGAAUUUUCUGGAAUCUGGGUGUAUCUUCUCUGGA